UAGUGGCGAACGGGUGAGUAACACGUGGGCAAUCUGCCCUGCACUCUGGGACAAGCCCUGGAAACGGGGUCUAAUACCGGAUACGAGCCUCCUCCGCAUGGUGGAGGUUGGAAAGCUCCGGCGGUGCAGGAUGAGCCCGCGGCCUAUCAGCUUGUUGGUGAGGUAACGGCUCACCAAGGCGACGACGGGUAGCCGGCCUGAGAGGGCGACCGGCCACACUGGGACUGAGACACGGCCCAGACUCCUACGGGAGGCAGCAGUGGGGAAUAUUGCACAAUGGGCGAAAGCCUGAUGCAGCGACGCCGCGUGAGGGAUGAAGGCCUUCGGGUUGUAAACCUCUUUCAGCAGGGAAGAAGCGAAAGUGACGGUACCUGCAGAAGAAGCGCCGGCUAACUACGUGCCAGCAGCCCGCGGUAAUACGUAGGGCGCAAGCGUUGUCCGGAAUUAUUGGGCGUAAAGAGCUCGUAGGCGGCUUGUCGCGUCGGUUGUGAAAGCCCGGGGCUUAACCCCGGGUCUGCAGUCGAUACGGGCAGGCUAGAGUUCGGUAGGGGAGAUCGGAAUUCCU
rnacentral:rRNA from 1 species